rnacentral:rRNA from 1 species
UGAGGAAUAUUGGUCAAUGGACGCAAGUCUGAACCAGCCAAGUAGCGUGCAGGAUGACGGCCCUAUGGGUUGUAAACUGCUUUUAUAUGGGGAUAAAGUGGGGAACGUGUUCCCUUUUGCAGGUACCAUAUGAAUAAGGACCGGCUAAUUCCGUGCCAGCAGCCGCGGUAAUACGGAAGGUUCGGGCGUUAUCCGGAUUUAUUGGGUUUAAAGGGAGCGUAGGCUGUCUAUUAAGCGUGUUGUGAAAUAUACCGGCUCAACCGGUGGCUUGCAGCGCGAACUGGUCGACUUGAGUAUGCAGGAAGUAGGCGGAAUUCAUGGUGUAGCGGUGAAAUGCUUAGAUAUCAUGACGAACUCCGAUUGCGCAGGCAGCUUACUGUAGCAUAACUGACGCUGAUGCUCGAAAGUGUGGGUAUCAAACAGG